UCCUUGAUGGUCCAGUGGCUAGGACUCUGUGCUCCCAAUGCAGAGGGCCCAGGUUUGGUCCCUGGUCAGGAAA